GGGCUUAGCUCAGUUGGUAGAACAUAAGACUCUUAAUCUCAGGGUUGUUGGUUUGAGCCCCACAUUGCGCA